UCGGAGCUCGCCAUCUCCAGCGAUCUCUACAUUGGGAAAAAACAUGGAGUCAGCUCCGGCAGCCCCCGACCCCGCCGCCAGCGAGCCGGGCAGCAGCGGCGCGGACGCGGCCGCCGGCUCCAGGGAGACCCCGCUGAACCAGGAAUCCGCCCGCAAGAGCGAGCCGCCCGCCCCGGUGCGCAGACAGAGCUAUUCCAGCACCAGCAGAGCCGACUGUAUGCCUCUUUCCUGAAGGUGACUUUACAAUCUCCAGACACAGACAUUUCUCUCAGAAGUGGAGUGAAGGAAGGAGAGCCACAUGCUAAAGACAAUGAACAGAGGAAAAGUUGACACUUUGAGAAGUUAUGACGAACUUGUCGAGAAUGCCAAUUGACAAAGGCAGGUAAGGGAAUACUUGGAGAAACAGCACAAGAACAGGUCUGAAGGGCAGGCCGAUCUGCUGCCUAGCGUGUUAAGGGAAUUGGCGGGCGUGUUUAUUGACUCUUCCAAUUAGUUUUAAAGAAACCUGGAGAAGUGGACAAAGACGGAGAAGGGACAACCGGAUGUGAUUCUGCCCUUCCAGAAGCAGAGGCCUCUAUCGUCCCAUAUGGUCGGCGCCAGUCAUGGGGAAGAGUGACUGCUUGGAAGUUAAUGGAUUUUCAACAGACAAAUCACAGAAGAAACAAGGGUAUAUUUCACAAGUCUCUUCAAUAAACUGCACUGCUUUUCAUUUCCACUGCGCACUUAUAAAGCCAGUGGAUGGUAAGAAGGCCAUGGUAACAAUACAGCAUGUACUCCCAGGCACGUUUGUGUGACAGGGAUAUUAUAUCUGAAAGGACUGAGCACCUGGGAGGGUGAACUGCCCGUAACUCUCAAUUGUCCAGGUAAUGAAGCAGGAAGAAAGCAAAGGCAGAUGAAAUACUUUGAUAAUCAAUGAUGAUGCUUCUUUUAGUGAUCGUAUUAGUUGACUGAUGGUGACAAAGGUGAAAUUGCUGGAGUUGUAUUUUACCAUUUCUGGCACGCACGACCCACUUUGGAUGAACACAUUUCUACAGAAAGUGCAUGAAGAGUGGUGAGCUGCUAAACUUUCUUGAGGCCCCCAAAAGAAUCAGUAAGAGAACCGAUGGCACCCCUGAAAGGGCUCUAGAAAAUUCUAAAGCUCGCUUUCUAGUCUUGAGCUUGGGGGUGUACGUUAGAUGUAUACGGCUCACUCAUGAGGCUGCCAUGGGUCGUGUUUUAUUAGACCACAGCCUGUUAGAGCCAGAGACUGCCUUAAGAACCAUCUAGACUAUACCCACCCCCUGUUGAAACUGGCACUCUCAGAGGUCAGAAUGUGCCCGAGGUCCCAUUCCUAGUAGGUAGCAAGGCUGUGAGUGGAACCCAAGUCUUCUCCAUCCCAGUGUUCCUUCCACUUGCAUGGAUGCUGAGACGUUCCAAUAAGUUCUUGCCCACCGGGAGACCCCCUGGAGCUAUUACGCUAUGUAUGCAGGUUAACCCAGCCUUCGGGGUAGAGAUGUAUGAAAGGAAGCACACUUUGUUUUGGCUGUGUAUCAGCAGCAGAGCAUUAUCAGUACUAUUGUAUUUUAAUCCCACUGGGUAUUUUUAUUAUUCCUUAAAAAUUAGCCGGUGAGCGUGUGACUCUGCCAGUAAAGCCGUUUAAAAGCAUAGUGAAAAUUGUGCCUGCGUCUCCCACUCCGAUCUAGUAGAUAGUAAAAUAUAGGACAUGGAGUGGGGCAUCCUGAACUUGGAGCCUUUAUGCUCGCUGGAGCUGGAGGCAGCCAGCUCCAGCUGUGCAGUGGGGGAGGGCGUCCCUCAGCAGCUGUCCUCUUUCCUCAAGGCACCGGGUUUGGGGCUGUGCCUUUUAUAGGGAUGCUGCUGAGCAAGUCUGCCAAUGGAAUACUAUGUAGCCAGGAAAAAUCAUGUUGUAGUGGAAGGUGUUUGGGAUCUACUGCUUAGUGAAAAGUCAUGGCUUUCAUGGAAUGGGAUCAUUUUUAUAAAAACUAUGGUGUGUGUGUGUGUGUAUGUAUAUGUAUAUAUUAACAUGGGCCCACAUGUCCCUAAAUGAAGAAAUGAUAAAGUGGUCAUCUCUGGGUGGUGGGAUUAUCUAUGAAUUUCUCUUUCUCUGUGCCCUUCUGUAUUUUCCGAGUUUCCUGCGUUAUGCAUGUUAUUAUUUUUG